CGGGUAUUAUUCAUUACCGCUUGGAGUUGAUCGAGUUAUUACCAUGAAGAGACACUGGGACUGAACUCGCUCUUAGCAGCCAGUCCUCAUGGAUAAGCUAUGGAAUGAAAGGUUCCUUGACCAAUUUAUCUGUACAGUCAUGUCACGGGUUCGCAAGGGACGUUUUACUCUUCAAGACAUCGAAACAUGUACAUGCGUCACUCACGAGUAAUUCAGAGACUGACAGCGUAACAAGACAAACGCAACAGCUUUUACAGUCGUCAAUUACGGAUUUUUUUAGAAAAUGUGUCUUUCGAGAUCUGCAGUGUAAUGACACGCCUGGGGUACAGCGAGGAGAUCAGACGAUGGCGGAUUUGAGAAUUACAUGGAGUUUGAAAGCCUUGCGAACGAACAACGAAGUAAUUUAAUUAGAAACACAGCUGGCAGCAAGGCAAAGGGACUUACCUGCGUGUUAGAAUGCGACAUCGACUCGCGAUUCGUUUUUGAAAAUGUACUCUGUGUAGAAGAUGGUAUCAAACUUAACAACAUACCAGACAAUAUGGAUGUGUACAUGAUAUAUACACGUGUAUAUCCACUGUAGACUGUUUCUAGAGACAUAUGAUGUGCCAAGAUGAUAGGAAGUUAUCCUCAAUUCACCAUGUGAAAACGGAUAUGAAGACGCUCUUUUAGGUAGUGAGAUAUUUCUUGAUUAAGUAUCGACGAAGGUCGUCGGAUAAUAAUGAGAUUGCCGAAGAUACAAAAGGCCAUUGUCGCUUUCCCGCAACCGAUGCUGUGGAUCAGCACGAAAUGGAUGCGUUUGGAAAUGCUGGACUUGGAGUUCAAGAAAAUAUGUAUACAAAUGAGAACCAUGUAAUUGAUACUGACACCAACCUACAGGAGAUAAAGCGAGGUGAGGUUGAGAUACUGUUUAUGGUGAUACAAUUAAUGAUUAUGGAAGGCUUUGAUAUGAAUGACCCGAUGGAUAUUUGUAAAAGAAUAUUAAUGGAAUAAUGCAUUGAAUUGCCAGAUAAGGGUGUGGGACAUGUGAUGUAGCGAAGUGAACGAAGUGGUUAAUGACUCAUAAAGCAUUCUGUAAAAAUUGAUAAGAAAACGAGCGAGGUCGAGAAACUACUCAGAGAGGUCCAUCAAUGGAUGUUAACCCUUUGCAUGCUGGGAAAUUUGUCGUCUGCUAAAAUGUCGUCUGCUGAAUUUGUAAAAUAAGCAUUUUCUUCAUUUUUUUAAAGAAUACUAUCAGAAUAGCAAACAGUUUGGAUCCAGAUGAGACGCCACGUUCUUUGGCAUCUCAUCUGGAUCCAAACUGUUUGCAAAGGCCUUUAAAAUUCGGUUCCCGCACUGAAAGGGUUAAUGAACGUCACUAUUGUUAACAAUCUGUAGAAUAAAAAGUCGCUAUACUAAUUAAUUUAAGUUACAGUUUUUAUUAAAUCGUUUAUGUAA